AUGGAGGCAUGCAUGCAGUGCCCCCAGAAGAAUGAACAUGGGAGACACUGAAGCGUCAGGAGGGGGGAGAAAAGUCCUCUUUGGUUCAAAACCUUUCCGUUUAAAACCUCAAACUGGUUUGCUAAUGUUAAUAGGCAAAUCCACUCAAAUGCUCCUUUGCAGACAGUUUCAAAGAAAUAAUGAGUUCCUCCAUCUUCUGGAUAGAGGUGAGGAGGGCAGCGUGAUGUCUUUAUUACUGGGGAGUCUGGGGUUUCCUGGGCCCUUUUCUAUGUCUCGCCUUCUGUGUUCACAUACUGACUUUGCCUGGUGAAUCACGCCCACUUUACGGACGGGGAAAGUGAGGCUCAUAGGAGGUGACUUUUAUAUGAGUAGAAUGCCUUUCAUUUUUCAAAAAGUGUUUCCAUGGGUGUCUUUGCCUCCAGAUAGCAUCAAGGACUUGUCCAUGAAACACAUGGCCUAAAUUCUUAGAGAAAUGGAAACAAAUCUAUCAAAGAAUGCAAGGACAACAUUCUUAUAAAAGAUCCUCGAGGACAGGCUGUUCACAUCUGUUUGUUCUAGUAGACAGAGGGUUAGGCUAAACUGACCUUUCAGUCCUGAGUACACCCCACAGUCCGUGUCAGGAAUGUUGAUAAGGAUAAAUCAAGAACACAGAGUGUUUGUUACUGGCCCUGCAACUGGGGAGUCCAGCAAGUUAGGACAAUUUUCUCAAUACUAUAUUUGGCAAUAUGAUAGGAUUUGUUGGAAUGUCUAGAUGUUCGGUUGAUUUUUAUUGGUUUCCCUCAGAAUAUCGAAUACACACAGACCUCAACAUAAAUAAAAAUGUAAAAUUACAUUUUUUUCCAGGAAGGUAAAAUGAGGAUUUGUUUAAGCAAGAAUGACUCUCAGAGGGAGAGUGGGCAGACAGGUGAGGAGCUCAGGUCCACGUUUGUCAGUAGCCCACCUCAUUGCAGGUCCACGCUCGGGCUGACCCCCAGCCCGCGACUAUCAGCUUGCUCGGCAGCAACCUGGCUUUCUUUGAGCAGAAUCCAGGCUGUGUUUGCUGUGUGGCUUGUCUACCAACGUGGCAGACCACAAGGAAGAGACCCAAGUCGGGGAAACAGCAGAACUGGCUCAAACUGGGGGUAUUAUCCUUACGGCUGUCCAUGUUGCGCUGAGUUAUGGGAAAAAUGAGAUUAAUUACAGGAAGUGGAGACACAUCAAAGGCAAGGAAGUGGCAGAUCAGAGCUUCUGGCUGCAGGGACUAAGUCGAGAAACAAACGGAGGUCACGUCCAAGUCAACAGUGAUGGAGGCUAACGCAGAGUGACGUGAAGCUCCGCUGGACAAGGAAAGUGUACACAUUCUGCGGGGCCACUGUGAAUCAGAUUGGAGUUGAGAGUCACCGUCUGGGUUACCAACAGCAAGCUUCAAGAAUGAAGCCAGGUGCCUCGUCAGGAAGAAGUCACACUGUGGCAGAAAAAUGACGCCCGUUAGCCAAUGAGAGAGUAGAAGCCCGAGCAGAACCUCUCCUUUCCUCAUGUGCACGAGCACGUGCAAGUUGCUUCUCCUCCUCUUCAGCCUGGCAGCCUGCAAAUAUUUAUCUCUGUUGUGUGCUGGGGAUACAUUCCAGCCAUCCGUUCAGCCAUACAUUCAGCCACGGAGACAGAACAUCCAUGGAGGAGCCCAGGAUUCCCGUUUCUCCUUCUCACCUCUCUCUCUUCGUGAUGGACCUCGAGGGUUUCAGCUCUGACUCUACGUGCAGCAGGGAUCUAGGGAGCCUGCUUUGGGUCCUCUAGGUUCUCGUCAAACAGCUGCGAAUGACUACCCCAGACUCUAUUGUCUGCAGACUUCGGCUUUGACUAUAUUUUACUUUCCUGUAAAAUAUGCUAUUUCGUGUCGAGAUCUGCUGCUGUCCACCAAAAAUACAACUCUGUUACUAACCCUGCCAGCUCCUGGAUGAUACCUCUGUGGACACUAAAAACAAUUUAAUGGCAUGUCACAAUAGCAAUUCACUCUGUUAAUAGCCCCGCUCAAUGAUACUAUAUUGCAUAAACCUCCUCCAGUCGUCUGACAAAUAAUUCACCUUUAUUCACUCCACAGUAAGCUCCAUUUCACUAACAAAUAUAUUUCUCCCCAAACCUACAAAUAUCCAGCAUCUCUGUCCUGUGACAAUAGCUAUUUUUUCGGAUGAGGUCAGUGGUAUCAGGUUUCCAUUACCGCUCACUGGCUUAGUCCCAAUGACCAUCUUUUUCCACGCAGUGCGUCAAAUUAGGGGACAGCAUAGUUUCUGAUUUCUCGCUCACACACCAGUGCAUGAAUGCACCAUGAUUAUGCAGGCACAGGAAGCAUUUGCUCUCUCUGUGGACAGCGGUUCAGAUGGAGAGGCAAGGAACAUUCCCUUCCCUGAGAACGCAUGUUCGUUCCAUUUAUUUAUUUUUUUUAAAUGUCUCCUUUGGUGGCAGGAGGCAAUGGGGCUCUUGACCUGGGAACCAUGGUCCUCAAAGGUUCCCUAAAUUCAGGCAUUAAAAAAAAUAAUUUCCACCAAACUUUACCUAAAAUUGAGGGUUUCUUCAGUCACAAAUGCAGGCACCUGAUCACGGGACCUGUGACUUUAGCACCGGUACAAAUCACAGGUAUCAUCAUAUCAUAUUACAGUGUUGCAGAGAUAUUGAAAUAUCACUGACAUUUAUUACUAUUUGAAAAUUAUAGUAGUUAUUAGGCCUCCUCAUAGAUUGUGUUAUCGAAUGUCUUAAUAAAGAAGUACGUACAUAACUAUAUCCAAGUCUGUUUCUUAAAAAAUAUUUUGAUGACUGCAUUUCCAUAUAAUUGGAUCUUUUUGGUAAUAAUUUGGAUCUAUUUAGUAACAAUAUAUUUUUAUCAUGUGCAUUUAAAAGUGGUAUUCUGAAAAGGGGUUGGGGAUGGGGACUCAGCCAAUAGUAUAAAAUAGUUAAGAACUAGCUCUCUGGAAGACAUGUGGUAGGAAGGAGCAUGUGGUUGGAAGUCAGGCACGCAAGGGUUCAAAUCUGGAUUUUUCAAUAAAAGUAAUAACACAACAGGCACCCCUAACACGCUUUCCAUGGGCCAGGCAUUGUUCUAAAUGUUUUGCAUGUGUUCAAUGCGUUGAAUCUCUACUCUGUGAAAUCUGUCCUUUCACUAGCCUUCACCUGACAAAAGAGGAGUCUGGAGCUCAGAGAUGUCGGCAGCAUGUCCACGAUCACUCAGCUGGUGAGCUGGAGAGAUGAAGUCCGCACCCGGAGGAGCUGCUCUUCAUCUCCCUCACACAUUAGUGAUUAGGGCAAACCAACCAACCAGCAAGUGCUGUGCAUGCAACAUCACUGCUCCGUAAACUGACCCUAUAAGCGUCUUCCUGUAGUUAUUACUGUAACUUUUUAGAUGAGAAAAAUGGGAUUAAAGAGGAGUUGGAUAGAUGGCACAAAACCAUACAGCUUGGAAGAGACAGUUACAGCAAUGCCAAACCCGGUGUAUUGCCUGUUUUUGUGAAUAAAGUUUUACUGGCCUAUAGGCACACCCCUUUGUAAAUGCAUUGUUUAUGACUGCUUUCUUGCAACAUGGCAGAGCUGAGUAGUGCUGCAGAGACCAAAAGGUCUGCAAAGGCCAAAGAUGUUUACCAUCAAGUUCUUUACGGACUAAGUUUGCAGCCGUCGUGUGCUACGCCACCUCCUGUCUGCCUGUCACUUAUUUGUUGCAAUGUGGUCCUGGGAAAGGAAGUCACCUCUGCCUUCAGUACCCUGAAUGGUAAAAUGGGGUCAUAGCGGUGUUAAUAUCUUGGGAUGUUCAUGGACAUGAAAUGUGUGGAAAGAGUUUAGCACAGUUCCUGGCACAGGAUAAAGGUUCAGGAAAUGUUGGUGGCUGUUAUUAUUCCCAUGAUUUUCAUUUGAAUCUGUAACUAAGACCUCAUGUCAUACUCUAAAAAGUUUAACAGUUCAUAAAGUCAAGUUAGCAAUUUCUGGGC